rnacentral:rRNA from 1 species
CCCCGGGGAUAACAGGCUGAUCUCCCCCAAGAGUCCACAUCGACGGGGAGGUUUGGCACCUCGAUGUCGGCUCAUCGCAUCCUGGGGCUGUAGUCGGUCCCAAGGGUUGGGCUGUUCGCCCAUUAAAGCGGUACGCGAGCUGGGUUCAGAACGUCGUGAGACAGUUCGGUCCCUAUCCGUCGCGGGCGCAGGAAAUUUGAGAGGAGCUAUCCUUAGUACGAGAGGACCGGGAUGGACGCACCGCUGGUGUACCAGUUGUCCCGCCAGGGGCACCGCUGGGUAGCUAUGUGCGGACGGGAUAAGCGCUGAAAGCAUCUAAGCGUGAAGCCCCCCUCAAGAUGAGAUUUCCCACCGCGUCAGGCGGGUAAGAUCCCUCGAAGAUGACGAGGUCGAUAGGUCCGAGGUGGAAGCGUGGCG